rnacentral:tRNA from 1 species
GCGGGUAGCUCAGCUGGAUAGAGCAUCGGCCUCCGAAGCCGAGGGUCGCAGGUUCAAAUCCUGUCCUGCCC